rnacentral:rRNA from 1 species
UACAGAGGUGGCGAGCGUUGUUCGGAUUUACUGGGCGUAAAGGGCGCGUAGGCGGCCGGUCGUGUCGGGUGUGAAAUCCAUGGGCCCAACCCAUGAAGUGCGCCCGAAACUGCCCGGCUGGAGUGCGGGAGGGGAGAUCGGAAUGCAUGGUGUAGCGGUGAAAUGCGUUGAUAUCAUGCAGAACACCGGUGGCGAAGGCGGAUCUCUGGAACGCUACUGACGCUGAGGCGCGAAAGCAGGGGGAGCAAACAGGAUUAGAUACCCUGGUAGUCCCUGCCCUAACCGGUGCACGCUUGGGGUGGGGGGAUUUCACCCCCCCCGUCCCGGAGCUAACGCGUUAAGCGUGCCGCCUGGGGAGUACGGCCGCAAGGCUAAA